rfam:Nipponia nippon contig29126, whole genome shotgun sequence.
CCAAAGGCUCUUUUAAGAGCCACCCACUUACUCCCAAAAAGAGCUG